AGGGGGAUUGGGUCAGCCAUCUCCCCUACCCAUUUUCGUUGGAGAACAGGAGGAGGAAGAGAGGAGACGCGACCUCCUUGAGCCACCACCAAAUUUCCAUCACCGGCGCCGAUUCCGGCGGUUUUCGGUGACAAAACUUACAUCAAUCUCUUCCUCUUCUCAUGGGCGUUCUGUUGAUACUAGUUCCAUAAUUUAUUUUCACUUGUGUGCAACAAAUCGAAGGAGAGAAGAUUUGAAAGUUUGUGCCUUAUUUUCUGAUUUCCGGCCAAACCAUGGAGAAUUUGGAGAAACCCCUAGGUAAUCCGGUUGAGCAAGCUUCCGAAGACAUUCCCGAGAUGGAACUCAACUAGGCACCCUUCAUUGUUAGCAUUGCAGAGGUAGAAUCAAUAUCCACGUCAAAGGCAUGCAUCCACUUGAUCUUCUGACAUCAGUCGUAUAGUUUACUUAGUAAUAGUUCUUAUGUUAAUUAGAGGAGCUUUGAGAUACCAUAAGUAAAUUGAGGUCUAUUGAAAUUGCAUGUAAAUAUUGGACGAGGCACUUAGUGAAAGUUUAUUUUGUGAGAGACAAGAGGUCAU